AAUAAAAUUCUUCCAUGUGUAGCAUUUGGAAUCCGUAAUUAAAGCUAAAAUACCAGGCAUCAUUUCACUCAUAAACAAAGGUAUUGAUGAGAUGGAAGCAGAGUUAGACCAUCUUGGCAGACCAAUUGCAAUUGAUGCUGGGGCUCAACUUUAUACCAUCUUGGAACUUUGUCGUGCUUUUAACAAAAUAUUUAAGGAACAUCUAGAUGGAGGGUAAGCAAUAUCUCAUUAAUUGCUAAACAUGUUUAAUUUUGUUGCAUUUCAUUAAAUUUGGAUUUAUAAUGUCAGCCGACCUGGAGGUGACCGGAUAUAUGGAGUGUUUGACCUCUAACUUCCUGCCAGGAAGCUUCCGUUUGAUAAGCAUCUUUCCCUACAAAAUGUGAGGAAACUUGUUUCAGAGGCAGAUGGUUAUCAGCCACAUUUAAUUGCUCCCGAACAAGGUUAUAGAUGUUAGCCUAUUAAUCCACUUAAUUAUUGGAUCCUUAUUUGUUACUAGUUAUGGGUCAAGUAUGUAAAUAGUAUAAAGUAAGUUUAAGUCACAUAUGUAUUUGUAUUAAGUAGAAGGGUCAAAUGUGCAGCCUUUAAAGUUUGAAACUGAUUUGUGAAGGGACACGAUGGUUCACAAAACAACACAUCGGUUCUUCAUGUCUCUGCACAUGUAUAUAUAUAUGUCAAAGUCAAUGUAAACAGUUAAUGUGUAUGGUAGUUUCUGUUUUCAAUAUAAUAUUCCCACUAUUAUUAUUAUAUCAUUUCUUUCAUUCUCAUUUCAAUAUUACUACAAACGAUCUACUGCAAACAUGAUGAAAACUAACAAACCAAAGAAGAUCUUGGGAAACCCACUGUGUAUCAAUAGACGACUUAUUAAGGGAUCGAUAAAUUAUUUUAGGGGACCAGCAGAAGCGUCUGUAGAUGCAGUAAGUAGUUAUUCUUUACUAUUUGUUUCGAAUGGGUUAUAUAGCAUCCAACUACUAUGUAAAUUGAUAAGUGUUUGUAUCUUAUGUGUACAUUACUUGGGAACCACUCUUCAGGUGCAUUUCGUCCUAAAAGAACUCGUGAGGAAGUCAAUUGCAUGAAAGUGUUCUAUAUUAUAUUUUUUUAAAUAUACUUUAUGUCAUAAAUUAAAUGGGAUGUGUAUUUUAUGCCAUGAUUAUAACUUAAUAAGAGAAAUUAACAUAGAUUUUAUAAUUUAAAUAUGACUCGACAAGUGGAUGCGCAUCACUACUGUGGCCAUCUGUCGGAAGAAAUGCGACAAUGUCUAAUCUACAACCGGCUCGAUGUCGAUGCGCGGUUGAUCGGCUGGAGUACAAAGUGACGUAAAGAACUGUUUUUAGCUCUUCCUGACACGGAAAAACCGAUGUGGCAUAGCCACAAGUACGAGGUGACGAGCGACGUGCUCUUUCUUCCUGGUUUUGGCUGCCCCGGUUAAAUGAAAAGAUCUUGAGAAAGUGGCGAAAACGUACAGAAAGAAGAUUCAUUUUUGGCAGGUGGAUAGAGGUACCGUAGGUGAUGAUACAGAAAGAAGAUUCAUUUUUGGCAGGUGGAUAGAGGUACCUUAGGUGAUGAUGGCGCUAACACGAGAUGGCCAACUCUACCCGAACCUUGCUAAAGACGUUCACCGAAGCAGAUAGUAAAGGUGAUGGUAGGAUCGACCAAGAAGAAUGGAGAGAAUACGUAAACAAAAACCCAUCGUUGUUGAAGAACAUGACUCUUCCUCAUUUAAUAUUUUCAGGGACAUAACUUUGAGGUUUCCAAGCUUUGUGAUGAACAGCCAGGGAGAGGAGACGUACACGACAGGCUAAAACAGUCUUUUUCGUACGUGAUCAACGUGUAAAAAAUGUAUCCAAAGUGUGAAAGAGCAUGCCUGCCUUCCUUUUAUACGAGCAGUUAAGAUAAAACUUGGUUCUGUUUCAUCAUUUUGGAUGCCUAUUUCUACUUUGGUAAUUGGGAGUUAAAUGUUAGCCACUACAUGAUGGACAGAAACAUGAAUAAAAAUGUUGAUUUUGGAAGCCA